rnacentral:rRNA from 1 species
AGCGUAGGCUGUGCGGUAAGUCAGAUGUGAAAUCCCGGGGCUCAACCCCGGAACUGCAUCCGAUACUGCCGUGCUAGAGGAUUGGAGAGGUAGCUGGAAUUCACGGUGUAGCAGUGAAAUGCGUAGAUAUCGUGAGGAACACCUAUGGCGAAAGCAAGCUACUGGACAACUCCUGACGCUGAGGCUCGAAGGCCAGGGUAGCGAAAG